rnacentral:rRNA from 1 species
AGCGAACGCUGGCGGCAGGCCUAACACAUGCAAGUCGAACGAUCCUUCGGGAUAGUGGCGGACGGGUGAGUAACACGUGGGAACGUGCCUUUUGGUUCGGAACAACUCAGGGAAACUUGAGCUAAUACCGAAUGUGCCCUUCGGGGAAAGGAUUUAUCGCCAUUAGAGCGGCCCGCGUCUGAUUAGCUUGUUGGUGAGGU